GACAGAGGCCUCGAGCGUUAGGCGGAAUCACUGGGCUUAAAGCGUGUGUAGGCGGGCCCGUAAGUGUCUUGUGAAAUCCCACGGCUCAACCGUGGAACUGCUGGGCAUACUGCGGGUCUUGGGCCAACUAGGGGCAGCCGGAACAAGCGGUGGAGCGGUGAAAUGCGUAGAUAUCGUAAGGAAGACCAGUGGCGAAGGCGGGUCUCUGGACAGUUCCUGACGCUGAGGCACGAAGGCCAGGGGAGCAAACGGG
rnacentral:rRNA from 1 species